CACAAGUUAAUGAAUUUGUUGGAAAUAAUUGAUGUGACAAAGGGAAUUUGUGCUUCCUUGUUGGCUGCUGCCUCUUUGCUUUGUUGUCUGCUGUAUGCUGUCUUUCUCCGUUGCUUAGAUGGUUGCUGACUUGUUGCUGGUCUUGUUGCUGGCUGAUGGUGUGCUCAGCUGCUGCCUGCUGAUGGUGUGCUCAGCUGCUGCCUGUUGCUGCCCUUCCUUUUCUUCCCUUUUUUUUUCUGAACUUUUAUUUAAGUAGUUGUUUUGGUUAUGUUUGGAUGUUUGGACUUUGCAGCAUUGUUGAAGUUUGUUGUACUGAUAUUUUAGGUUGUUGAAUUGGUACUUUUUGGCUUAUUAGUUUGUAAUAUUUGUAUUUUGAAAUAUUUGUAUUUUGCUAGCCUCCAAAACUAAUUUAGGGAUAUUAUUAUGUUAA